rnacentral:lncRNA from 1 species
GAGUAUGGAAAUUGAAUUAAACCCGUGUGAGCUUAGUAAAUGAUUAGGAUACAAAUGACAUGUCAUUAGGGCUUAUCAGGCACUAUGUGCUGGUGAUUAUAGUUAUCAAGUACUUUGUACAGGUGCUACAGUUAUUAGGCACUUUGUGUCGGUGUUAUAUUAUCAAGUACUAUGUAUUGGUGGUGGAUAUCAUACUGAUGACUAAAAUCUAGCAUUUGUUGCAUAUUCUCGACAGCUUGUGUAAGCAACAUCAAGUAAUGGUUAAUGUCCC